rnacentral:rRNA from 1 species
GACGAACGCUGACAGCAUGCCUAACACAUGCAAGUCGAACUAAACCUUCGUGUGGAUGGCCGAACGGUGACUAAACGCUUAAGAACCUGCCCUUAAGUUCGGAAUAACUCAUAGAAAUGUAAGCUAAUACCUGAUAAUAUGUUCAUACCAAAGAGUUAUGGCAUGUGGGUUGUCCUGCGUAGGAGUAGCUUUUGGGUGGGGUUAUGGCCUACGAAGGCGACGAGCCUUAGCUGGUCUGAGAGGAUGAUCAGCCACACUGGGACACAGACACCGCACAGAUUCGUAAGGGAGGAAGCAGUAGGGAAUAUUGGAGAAUGGGCGAAAGGAUGCUCCAGCACUGCGGCGUGAGUGAUGAAUGCCUUAGGGUUGUAAAGCUCCUUUACCAGGGAUGAUAAUGACAGUACCUGCAGAAUAAGCUACGGCUAAAUCCGUG